rnacentral:rRNA from 1 species
GAACGCUGAAGAGAGGAGCUUGCUCUUCUUGGAUGAGUUGCGAACGGGUGAGUAACGCGUAGGUAACCUGCCUUGUAGCGGGGGAUAACUAUUGGAAACGAUAGCUAAUACCGCAUAACAAUGGAUGACCCAUGUCAUUUAUUUGAAAGGGGCAAAUGCUCCACUACAAGAUGGACCUGCGUUGUAUUAGCUAGUAGGUGAGGUAACGGCUCACCUAGGCGACGAUACAUAGCCGACCUGAGAGGGUGAUCGGCCACACUGGGACUGAGACACGGCCCAGACUCCUACGGGAGGCAGCAGUAGGGAAUCUUCGGCAAUGGGGGCAACCCUGACCGAGCAACGCCGCGUGAGUGAAGAAGGUUUUCGGAUCGUAAAGCUCUGUUGUAAGUCAAGAACGAGUGUGAGAGUGGAAAGUUCACACUGUGACGGUAGCUUACCAGAAAGGGACGGCUAACUACGUGCCAGCAGCCGCGGUAAUACGUAGGUCCCGAGCGUUGUCCGGAUUUAUUGGGCGUAAAGCGAGCGCAGGCGGUUUGAUAAGUCUGAAGUUAAAGGCUGUGGCUCAACCAUAGUUCGCUUUGGAAACUGUCAAACUUGAGUGCAGAAGGGGAGAGUGGAAUUCCAUGUGUAGCGGUGAAAUGCGUAGAUAUAUGGAGGAA